rnacentral:lncRNA from 1 species
AAUUAUGUCUGGACGCGGCAAACAAGGCGGUAAGGCUCGCGCCAAGGCCAAGACCCGCUCCUCCCGGGCCGGCCUGCAGUUCCCCGUGGGCCGUGUGCACCGUUUGCUUCGCAAAGGCAACUACGCGGAGAGGGUGGGCGCCGGCGCCCCGGUGUACCUGGCGGCUGUGCUGGAGUACCUGACGGCCGAGAUCCUGGAGCUGGCGGGCAACGCGGCGAGGGACAACAAGAAGACACGCAUCAUCCCGCGCCACCUACAGCUGGCCAUUCGGAACGAUGAGGAACUCAACAAGCUGCUGGGCCGUGUGACCA